GCGCUUGCUUCGGAAGCACAUACGCUAAAAUUGGAACAAUACAGAGAUUAGCUUGGCCCCUGCUCAAGGAUGACACACAAAUUCAUGAAGUGUUCCAUAUUUUU